rnacentral:rRNA from 1 species
AAGUCGUAACAAGGUCUCCGUUGGGUGAACCAGCGGAGGGAUCAUUAUCGAGUGUUACAACUCCCAAACCCUUUGUGAACCAUACCAAAUCGUUGCUUCGGCGGGACGCCCCGGGUGCCAUCGCGGCCCGGAACCAGGCGCCCGCCGGGGGUACCAAACUCUUGUUUUUCCACAGCGGAGUAUUCUCUGAGUGGCACAAGCAAAAAACGAAUCAAAACUUUCAACAACGGAUCUCUUGGUUCUGGCAUCGAUGAAGAACGCAGCGAAAUGCGAUAAGUAAUGUGAAUUGCAGAAUUCAGUGAAUCAUCGAAUCUUUGAACGCACAUUGCGCCCUUUGGUAUUCCGAAGGGCAUGCCCGUUCGAGCGUCAUUACACCAAUCAAAGCCCGGCUUGGUAUUGGGGCCCCGGGGGCGACCCGGACCUCAAAAGCGUCGGCUGGAAACCCCCAAAACUCAGCGUCGUGGCACAAACAAUUCGCUGGCGAGAAGGGGAGUUCCACGCCGGAAAACUCAUACAAGGUUGACCUCGGAUCGGGUAGGGAUACCCGCUGAACUUAA